UUUCAUGCUUGUAAAUUUGGAGCUUUGAGUGUGCAGCCUUUAGGUUUAGGUUGCUAAUAUUAUUCACACCUUGGUUUAAGCAUGACCUCUUGUAAUCUUGCCUUGAUAGCUUAUUAUUUUGUGGUGUAUUUAAUUUGUGAUUAUAGUAACCUGAUGCUUUAGUUUGUUUGGAAUCCUCUUUGUCUAAACUUGGGGUUGUUUGGCCUUGUAUUGGUUUAAUCAUCUAUAGGUUGUCCUUAAUUUAACUUUAAUUGUGUUUGAAGCUGGACAUCAUGUGAGUUUGGUUUUGCAUGAGAUCAUGACUUUUAAUAUUUUAAUCAUCUAAAGCCUUCUAGACCCUAAGUGCCUUGUUGUAGAUCAUUGUUGGUAUUAGCUUAACAUCUAGACCUAGUCUUUACAAGCACUUGUAAGCAUGCUUUCUAAAAUUUCUAUUUGCUUAAAUAUCUUCAACUAUAGGUUCUGUGAACUUGUGUGUGGCUUCCAGAAGCAUGGAUAACAUGCUUUAUGAUUAUCUCACUUAUGUGAAUAUUUAUAUAGUCAUGUACUUUCAGUUGUAUACUUGAUAGUUGGAAUUUUAAUUUCCAUCCUUGAACCUUGCAUAUCAGGUUAUUAUUUAUAGACAUAGGUAUUUGGUUGUGGUUGACUUAUCCUGCAAUGAUUGUAAAUUCUUCCUCCGGGGCCUUAGUUGUAGUAGGCCCGGCCCAAGACUUAAUUCUAAGUAAAGCUUUUGUUGGUUAGAUUUUGUAGCGAGCCCUAGUUCGCGGGACUUGGUGAACCCGACUCUGUAGCUCGGAGCCAGGAGAAGAUCAAGUCUAGGAUCGGGGGGGGUGUCUGGGAGUGUAUUUUCCGUUGUUAUCAGUAUCUCUGUAGUACACUUUUCUGGGAUUGAGAAUGCACCUGAACCUGCACCUUCAAGCGUUGGCCGAAAAAGAUAGAAAAUACCUUAUAGAAGAAGCAACCAGGCAGCCAAUCUAGAAAAUGUCUUAAUUGGUAGUACUACAGCUGUCAAUUCACCAAGUCAGCCCCCUGAUCUCUUAGGCACCCUACAGUCUCAAACAAGGCAACCAAGUCAAAUUACCAACAAAGGGCCAGUAUUAAAUGUCAGCAUAAGCAUGUCUUCCCAUAUUAGUGUGGCUAACAUGGGAAAUGUGAUCAACUGCACAAUGCCAACCCAAUCUCCAAUAAGAGAUAGGGCUUCUUCCUCAGUCAUGGAUGGUGGAAAGGAAAUGGAAUGUUUUGAUGAUGGAAAACUCUGUUGAUAUUUAAAUUAUGAACUUUGUGAACUAGUAGUAACAUUUUAUUUUGAGUCAAUGUCCUUUAGAUUUGUUAUGAAAUUUCUUUUAAGCACUGUCAGUUAUGUAUUUUGUUGGAUUUGUUGCA